GGGGGGGGGGGGGGGGGGGGGGGGGGGGGGGAGGUGGGGGGGGGGGGCGGGGGGGGGGGGCGCUGGGGGGGGGCGGGUGGCGGGCGGGGGAGGGAGACAGCGGAAGCUACUUUGUCGUGGGGGAGAACGUCGGGAAACUUACGCUCAUACGGCAUACGACGUACGGGUGAAAGCAGGGGGACUUCGGACCUUGCGCGAUUGACUGAGCCGAUGUCGGAUUAGCUAGUUGGCGGGGUAAAGGCCCACCAAGGCGACGAUCCGUAGCUGGUCUGAGAGGAUGAUCAGCCACACUGGAACUGAGACACGGUCCAGACUCCUACGGGAGGCAGCAGUGGGGAAUAUUGGACAAUGGGCGCAAGCCUGAUCCAGCCAUACCGCGUGGGUGAAGAAGGCCUUCGGGUUGUAAAGCCCUUUUGUUGGGAAAGAAAAGCAGCAGGUUAAUACCCCGCUGUUCUGACGGUACCCAAAGAAUAAGCACCGGCUAACUUCGUG
rnacentral:rRNA from 1 species